rnacentral:tRNA from 1 species
AAUUAAUGAGCUUGUUAAAGCAUUUGUUUUGAAAACUUAAGAAAGAAUUCCAUUCUAUUAAUUU